rnacentral:lncRNA from 1 species
CGCGAAUUCUGCCCAGUAAGGGUAGUGCAUAGGAUUAAAAGUUGAGGGGUUUUUAUGCAAAAUGGCAUUAGUAAUGUAACAUAUCAGAUUUUGGUAUAAAAAUAAAAAUAAAUAAAAAUAGUGUGAGAAACUAUAUUUAUUUGAUUUAUAGAAGUAAAACAUAAGUCAGAAGUGACUUGUGCUGAAAUCGGAAUGAAAACAGAAGAUCUAGAAUUUUCUGUUGGAAACGGGACAGAUAAAUUAGCAGAAAAUGCACAGUCUCAGAAAAUUAUGAAAAUUGGAGGAUAAGUCAAAAAUAUUUUUAUGAGGCUAGAUUUAAAGUUUCAUAUUUUUCUGACACCCGUAGAGUGAGAAAUAAAAUCCGACAGCUAUCUGAUAAAUAUUACAGUUCGGUACAGUUUUCAGUGACCAAACGGGGUCGAAACUGAAAACUUAAAAUAUAUUCUUGCUCAAUACGUAAAACCGAAUAUGACU